rnacentral:rRNA from 1 species
CCAAUAGCGUAUAUUAAAGUUGUUGCAGUUAAAAAGCUCGUAGUUGAACUUCAGGCCUGUCCAGAUGGUCCGCCUUAAUUGGUGUGUACUGUCCUUGGGUGGGUCCUACCUUCUGGCGAAGCGGCAUGGCCUUAAUUGGUUGUGUUGGGGAACCAGGACUUUUACUGUGAAAAAAUUAGAGUGUUCAAAGCAGGCAUAAUAUGCUCGAAUACAUUAGCAU